rnacentral:lncRNA from 1 species
CAUUAUCUACCUAAUCAACACUAAUUAACAUAAAACCCGUAAACCUAUCUAAAUUCCCUAUACUAACCACCUAAUCUGUCCUAAACUAAUCAAAUUAGAGAGGAAUUAGAGAGACUUACCAUUGCUACGAAAUAGAAAGGAAGUGGAGAGGAAGUAGAGAGGAAAGAAAGAGUGAGCGCUCGGGAGUAUAUAUAAGAUUACUUAUCCUCGUUAUUUCCUCGUAAAGUUACGAGGAAUUUCAAAGGCCCAUGUUUUAUUGUACGAGGAAGUAGCGAGGAAUUACAAAGGUCCGUGUUUAGGUUUACGAGUUUUUUACGACGACUAAGUUUACGUGGAAUUUACGAGUCAACAUUUUACGAGGAAUUAGCGAGCCCCGCUUUUCUAUAAAUACCCGCAACUUUCCUUCCCAAACCACACACAAACUCACAAAUCACACACAAACUCACAAAUCUCACAAAUGACACCCUAUCUCAAAUCACACAACUCAGCAAAAUGCUUUUCAAAUUAGAAAUAUUUGAAAAAAAAA